rnacentral:rRNA from 1 species
CGUAACAAGGUCUCCGUUGGUGAACCAGCGGAGGGAUCAUUACUGAGUUUACGCUCUACAACCCUUUGUGAACAUACCUACAACUGUUGCUUCGGCGGGUAGGGUCCCCGUGACCCUCCCGGCCUCCCGCCCCCCCGGGCGGGUCGGCGCCCGCCGGAGGAUAACCAAACUCUGAUUUAACGACGUUUCUUCUGAGUGGUACAAGCAAAUAAUCAAAACUUUUAACAACGGAUCUCUUGGUUCUGGCAUCGAUGAAGAACGCAGCGAAAUGCGAUAAGUAAUGUGAAUUGCAGAAUUCAGUGAAUCAUCGAAUCUUUGAACGCACAUUGCGCCCGCCAGCAUUCUGGCGGGCAUGCCUGUUCGAGCGUCAUUUCAACCCUCAAGCUCUGCUUGGUGUUGGGGCCCUACAGCUGAUGUAGGCCCUCAAAGGUAGUGGCGGACCCUCCCGGAGCCUCCUUUGCGUAGUAACUUUACGUCUCGCACUGGGAUCCGGAGGGACUCUUGCCGUAAAACCCCCCAAUUUUCCAAAGGUUGACCUCGGAUCAGGUANGAAUACCCGCUGAACUUAAGCAUAUCAAUA